CGCCGCCGCCGCCGUCGCCUCCCGCCUCCCGCCUCCCAUCCUCACCGCCGCAGCCGUCACCUCCCACCCCCCAUCCCCACCCGCGCGGCCGCUUCUCGCCCCGUCCACGGACACGUUCUCUGCCGCCGUCCUCGUCUUACCGAGCUCCUACGCCAGCAGAUCGACACCGCCGGACCCGUCCCCCCGUCUCGCCGCCGUCCAGCUCGUCCUCGUCCUCCGGCUCGCCACCAACUAGCUUCCGGACAAGCUCAAGCUCAGUAUUGCCCCCCUACAGAUAGCUUAGGGCCGGCCCCGGUCUCGCCCGUCAGCAAGGGGCUCGCCGCGAUGGCGGACCUGAUUCCGGGCGAGGGAGAGCUGGCUUUCGGCGGCAACCAGGACGACGACGACGCGGAGGACGCCUCGCCGGGCAGCAAGGAGCUGGCCGCCAUGGUGGAGGCGGCGGCGGCGGCGAGCGUGGAGCUGGACGCCGCCGCCGACCGGGCGCCGCCGUACGGGGACGACCGGACGCCGAGGGACGGGAUGGUGUUCAAGUCGUACGAGGAGGUGCUCAACUUCUACAAGCGCUACGCCCUGCGCACCGGCUUCGGCGUCUGCGUCAAGAAGUCCUCCUUCACCAAGGCCGGCCUCUGCCGCCGCCUCCUGCUCGUCUGCAACAGGUGGGGGAACGGCAAGGAGGACGCCUGCUACCAGGCCAGGCCCACGGCCAAGACCAACUGCCAGGCCACCGUUGUCGCCAGGCUCUGGGGGGACGGCAUGCUGCACCUCACCGACGUCAGCCUCGACCACAACCACCCGCUCAACCCCUCGGCAGCGCGCUUCCUGCGGUGCUACAAGACGCUUCCCAGCGGGAUGAGCAAGGACCUGGUGGUGAGGGCUGCCAGAGGUGAAUGCGCCACCUCCGGUGGCGACGUCGAGGCCCCCCCGAUGUUUGAUGACUGGGGGCGACUCAAGAUCAGGGAGGGUGAUGUUCAGGCUAUCAAUGGCUUCUUUGCGGAGAUGCAGGCCAAGCAGCCAAACUUCUUCUAUGUCAUGGAUUUCUAUGUGGAGGGUCACCUGAGGAGUGUUCUUUGGGCUGAUUCAAGAUCCAGGGAAGCAUACCAGUAUUUUAGCGACGCUAUUUGGGUCGAUACCACCUGCUUGAGGAGUAAGUUCAAUGUGCCCCUGGUUUUGUUUCUCGGGGUGAACCAUCAUGGCCAGCUUGUUUUGUUAGGGUGUGGCUUGCUUUCGGAUGAGAGUACAGAGAGCUUCCUGUGGCUGUUCAAAGCAUGGCUAACUUGUAUGAAGGGAAGGCUUCCAGGCGCCAUGAUUACGGAUGAGUCUGUGGCGAUAAAAGCUGCGGUUCGAGAAGUGUUUCCCAAAACGCGCCAUAGGAUAAGUGAUUGGCAUAUAGUGAGAAGUAUUGCUGAGAAGUUAGGAGAGUUGCCAGAAUAUGAAUCAAUAAAAGUCCAAAUGGAGGCAGUAAUAUAUGGUUCCUUGAAGGAUGAUCAGUUUGAGACAAGGUGGAAGAACUUGAUCAAUAGGUUUAGCCUUCAGGAUAAUGAAUGGAUCAUCUUUCUGUAUGAAAAUCGACACUUGUGGGUCCCUUCCUUUCUGAAAGACGCCUUCUGGGCUGGACUGUCUGUUAACCACCGGGAAAGCCCAGGUGCAUUCUUUGAUGGUUCAGUGAGCCAUGAAACCACAUUGGUGUCGUUCCUUAGCAAUUACAUGAUCCUUGUACAGUACAAGCACAAAAUGGAGCAACAGGAUGAUUUUGAGUCAUUAACCAGCGGCAGGGUCCUUGUAUCAAAGUUCCCUAUGGAAGAGCAGAUAUCCAAAUUGUACACCCUGAACAUGUUUGUGAAAUUCCAGGAUGAGCUAAAAUCAACGCUGGACUGCCAAGUUCAACAAGUAUCGCCAUCUUCUUUUGUAGUUAUUGACUUAGCUGAACAAGGCACAGGAUUAGUGACUAGAAAGUAUGAGGUUGUUCACUGUAUGGAGACCAACAGGAUGGAAUGUAACUGUGGCCUAUUUCAGUUUAGUGGAAUUGUUUGUCGGCAUGCGUUAUCGGUGCUUAAAUGGCAGCAAGUGUAUGAUAUCCCCCCUUGCUAUGUACUUAACAGGUGGAGGAGUGAUUUUAAGCAGCUGCACGCUCUGGAUAAUCCACUCAAGGAUCCUUUAGUAUCGAGUAAUCAUGUUGAGCGUUAUGACCAUAUUUCCUUGCAGUGCCUCCGUCUUGUUGAGAUUGGAAUGGUUUCAGAUGACAAGUAUCAGCAUGCAUUAAAACUAAUCAGCGACAUGAAAAGGACCCUUCUUGAUGAUAAUUUGUGCCGCGAGUUGGAGCAGAAAAUGUCACCUCCUGAACGCGCAAUUGUUGUGAAUGGUGAUAGCCAUGCACAGCCUGGUUCAUCUGAGGGGGGUCCAGCCAAAAAACGCCGCGGCCGUCCUCCCAAAAAGAGUAAAGAGAUAAGCGCGGAGUCUGUGUCAAAUCAAUGUGGAAACAAGGAGUCUUUACUGGUAUCUUCAGAUGUAAGUCAGAAGGGUGCUUUACAUUCUUCUUCGACUGCCUCCAACCUUGGUACUCAUGUCAGAGCACAUGGCGUUGAUGAUCUUAUGGAAGAAGUUAACGCUAAUGAGGUAUCAUUUGAGAGCCGUUAUGGGGUGCAAUCUAGCCAUCCAAAUCAUUAUGGUGACCAGCUGCAUCCAAGCCACACAUUGCAGUUUGGCCAACACAUGCCAUCCGCAGAGCAAUCUAGGGGAGUCGAGUGGGUGUAUCCGACUAUAUAUCAGGAUGAUCAAGUGCCUUAUGACAGGCGGACAUCUUGAAUCGUAGAACAGGAGAAUGAUUUCAGGGGACUCAAAGUACUUGUAGUUAACAUUAGGAAACCUGACAUUUGAAGGUUGAUACGGUCCAAACUGAAAGAUGAGAAUGCUAUGCAUUUAUUGCAGUAAUACUACUAACCCCAACUGUUAAGGUUCCUGAUGAGAUGUACAGAGGGGUCCGGGAAGCUGCCAGCUGGCGUCGGCCCCCCACCCCAGGAUGUGUUAAACAUCGGAGGCGAGGCGGCGUGAUGAGAGCGUCGGCGCGUGUCGGCACAAGUCUGGGCAUGUGGUUUGAUUCUUUGGCCUGCAUAGAGACCGGCAGGAAGGAAUGUGGCAAUGUGCCUUGGCUGGCCUUGAUGGUGCUAGCAACUGCUAAGAUGUAGUGUACUGCGCCUGAUCCUGACAAGAACUCAAAUAUAGCUCUCUUCAAAUCCUGCUCUCUUUUUGACUGCUGGCUCUGACCUAUGUGAAUACAUGGUUCGGCUUUUUUUCUUUCUGAAAAAACACCGUCGUUUUUUUCUCGCUUCAAUGUGACACGGUGCUGCUGCGUGUCUGUAUAUGUUUUGAAGGUUAUAUAAAAGAAAAACGAGACCAA